rnacentral:tRNA from 1 species
GCCUGGGUGGCUCAGUCGGUUGAGCGUCCGACUUCGGCUCGGGUCACGAUCUCGCGGUCCGUGAGUUCAAGCCCCGCGUCGGGCU